rnacentral:lncRNA from 1 species
AACCAAUUCCAGAAAAGGCUAAAUACCCAGUGAGCCUCCCAUUUGUCUAUGACAUCACCAAAAUUUAAUUCCCUGAGUCUAGUAAAUAGUGAUUAUGUCUGUGUGUGGAUAUUUGAAUGGAUGACCUUUAUGAAUAAGUCUUGGAGUAUGUGUAUACCUGUAACAUAAAUAAAGUUUCAAUGAGAACAGGUUCUUGAUAACUUGUAAAUCAUUGAAAACUGGAUUUCUGUGCCUGCUCCAAAAGUGCUUUCCUCUAAUUUCAUAUAUUUAGAAGCUCUGUUGUAAUUUGGACAAGUCUUGAUUUCACAUGAAAGUCAGGAUUCUUAUCUGCAAAAUGGUGCAUCAAUAGAAUCAUUUUUUUUUCAUUUGCGAAAUGUGUUGGAGAUUCAAAACAACCACUCUAGUAUCUCCUCCAAGAAAGAUCCAAAUGGGAUUACAAAGAGUCACUCAGGUCUGAAGUGACUGAACAACAAUCACUAGAAUGUUUUCUCAGUAUGUAUAUUCUGUGCCUCCCCCAGUAGUUUAGAAAUUCCUCAAAGGCAGAAUCCAUGCAUUGUAUUUCUCUUAGGUCCCCUGCAAUUCUACAGCAUUAGGAUUUUUCUCUCCUCUCAGAAACCUGGGGAAAGAAUGCAAUUCUGAAUGUUUCUCAUUGACUUGAAUAAUGGAUACCAUCACCAGUGUUUUCAAAGAAUGUUGGGAAUAUAAGAUAAAUUCACUAUUCUGAUCCUAGGUAAAGAGUAGCAAGAGUAUGCAGCAGGAAAAACUUAGAACACUUAUGGGCAUGCCAAGGCUAUCUUGUCUUCUCAUUCAAAAGUAGAUUUAGAGUGUGAAUUUUUCUUUUAUAAAUAAUCCUUCUAAUUUUGUUUUCCAGAAUGACAAAUCUCCAGGGCGUUCUGCAAGUCGGUCAAGUAACAUAUCUAAGAGAGGUUGGACCAACCCUUCCUAGUUCGGAGCUCGUUCUUCACAGUGAGAAAUCUUGCUCUAGCCAUGGUGAGUAAAUCAUCGUUUCUACUGGCUAAGCUAUCACCAGGCAAUGUCCACUUAUCUACUAAUCACAAAACUUCUUCUGAAUUUCCUGGUUAUUAACUCCAAAACU